UAUUAUAUAUGUGUAGGGGCAUAGUAUGUAUGCAUACUUUUGCAGGUGGUAACCAUUCAUACAUUAUGGGGAAAGUAAUUUUUAGAACUCAGGUAGUAAAUGUCUUUAAAAAAAAAAUUGGGGGAAGGGGCGGCGACGCCAAGUCCGCCCGCGAAGGUGGCAAGAAAAAGCCCCUGAAACAGCCCAAGAAGCAGCCCAAGGAGAUGGAUGAGGAAGAUAAAGCGUUCAAGCAGAAACAAAAAGAGGAGCAGAAGAAACUCAGGAGCUAAAAGCGAAGGCCAUGGGGAAGGGCCCCCUGGCUAUAGGUGGAAUUAAGAAAUCUGGCAAAAAGUAAGCUGUUCCUUGUGCCUGAGGGGAUGAUGACCCUUGAUUCCUAUUUAAACAUCUGUAUUCCCUGCCAUAACAUCUUUUGCCACCUAUAGCUAAAAUGAAGUGUUGUCUUGGAGCCUAUUGUACAUUUAAGAAUAAACUUUUGUUAAAAAA